CCCGGUGAUUAUAGCGAAAGGGCCACACCUGAUCCCAUUCCGAACUCAGAAGUUAAGCCUUUCAGCGCCGAUGGUACUGCAUUGGAGACGAUGUGGGAGAGUAGGAUGUUGCCGGGA
rnacentral:rRNA from 1 species